GCUAUUAUGCCAGAGCCAGCUUCUGUUAUUUAUUUCUUCAACAGAUGCGGUGUGCGUAAUAACGUGCCUGAAUAAUUAUCUGAAGU
rnacentral:ncRNA from 1 species